rnacentral:rRNA from 1 species
GAUGAACGCUGGCGGCGUGCCUAAUACAUGCAAGUCGAGCGAACAGACGAGGAGCUUGCUCCUCUGACGUUAGCGGCGGACGGGUGAGUAACACGUGGAUAACCUACCUAUAAGACUGGGAUAACUUCGAGAAACCGGAGCUAAUACCGGAUAAUAUAUUGAACCGCAUGGUUCAAUAGUGAAAGACGGUUUUGCUGUCACUUAUAGAUGGAUACGCGCCGCAUUAGCUAGUUGGUAAGGUAACGGCUUACCAAGGCAACGAUGCGUAGCCGACCUGAGAGGGUGAUCGGCCACACUGGAACUGAGACACGGACCAGACUCCUACGGGAGGCAGCAGUAGGGAAUCUUCCGCAAUGGGCGAGAGCCUGACGGAGCAACGCCGCGUGAGUGAUGAAGGUCUUCGGAUCGUAAAACUCUGUUAUUAGGGAAGAACAAAUGUGUAAGUAACUAUGCACGUCUUGACGGUACCUAAUCAGAAAGCCACGGCUAACUACGUG